rfam:Monodelphis domestica chromosome 2, whole genome shotgun sequence.
GUAGGAAAAUGACCUAUGAAUUGACAGACAUUAUAUUUAAAGUUUGUCUGUCAUUUCUGUAGGCCAAUGCCUUGU